GAUGCUGUGGAGGAAUGUAAAGAGUAUAUAUUUACUAUGUGUGUGUGUGUAAUUCUUCUCCUCCCCAAGUCCCCACCCCUCUCUCUCUCUAGUCUCUCUUUAUAUAUAUAUAGAUUUUAAAGUCGCUUUCCUGUUGCUGACUCUCAUGACGAAAACGACCCAUCAUCUUACCCUAUGCAUAAAUGAAACACACCUCUCUUCCGUAAGUUUUGCGAGCCCCUUUUCAAACACACACACACACACACACACGACACACACACACAUAUAUAUCUAUGUAUAUCUAUUUCUAUUUUUCCUGACAUAUUUUUAUAUCUAUUUUUUGAGCUUUUUAUGUUGCUUGUUCUAUUCUUUUCAUUUUAGCGAGGUGACACUGAAAAAUAUAUGCUGCAUCAAUGGAGAUUUAGGGUUUCUGAUCUCCUAGACAUACCCAUUAUUAAUUUAAUACCCAUUACUAAUUUUUUUUUUUUUUAAUGUUUUUCUGCCAUAUAUUUCUUAUAUCGCUAUAUACGAUACUUUUUUUCGAUAAUCAGAGGAGUUUUAAUUGCAAAUUUGUUUUCAGUUGAUUAUGUUGUCACUGUAUAUUGAAUAGCUAGAUUGUAUGCUUUGGAAGGGCUUUUGUUUGUGAUUACAGAAGCUAAGAUAUAUAGGUUUUCUUUGCACUAUAUUUAAUAUAUUGAUGUUUAAUUUGUUAUUGGUCUGUUUUUAUAGCUAAUCAUGAUUAGGGUUAGGGUAUGUGAGAAGUUUAUUCUGCCUAGCUUUUGGUUAAUCUCAAUUUCCUGAUGAAUUUUAGGUUUUGGACCUUCUUUUUCUUUCGGUAAUUAGGUUUUUGAACUUGUUGAUUGUAAUAUCCUUUCAAUGUUUCACUCAUUGUAUUGGCUGAAAUCCUUUCUUUGUAAUUGAUGAUUAGAAUCAGGUUUGUAUGAAUUCACAUUAAUUUUCUAAUGAAAAACACAAAUGUAUUGACAUUGCUUCUUUUAAGACUUACUAGUAUUCAAGUAUAAUAGGGUAAUUUUGAUUUUGAUAUUGCUUCUUUCUUGUCUAUUUAUACGAUUGACUGAAAAAAGUUUCGAUAUGAAACAUUUUCUUAAGUUUCGAUAUGAAACAUUUUCUUUGUUUAGCCUAGCCAGGGAAUUCUUGGACUAACAAGAAGAGUAACUUCGAAAAAGCAUAAUGCUUGUAGUAAUAUUUUGAUCCCCUAAUUUAGAAAUGCAAAAAAGUCUGUAUUUUGUAUUUGUAUUACCUAUUCUUUUAUUUUUAGGAUGGAAGAAAACGGUAUAUGUUGCUAUGUCAAGAAAAGCAUUAUUUCUUCAAAUGAUUGCAUGUGAUUAUUGAGCAUUUAGAUGGUAUUUAUUCCGAUGGUUAAGAAAUGCAAAGCUGGCUGUAUUUGUAUUUAUGUUACUUUUUCUUUGAUUUCUUCAAAUGGACAAAAAGUAUAUAUGUUACUAUUUCAAAAAUGUGUUCUCUUAUGUUAUGUCAAGAAAGUGUUCUCCCUAUGAAUUUCUUCAAGUGAAUGCUUCUUAGUCUCAAGCAUUAAACUGGUAUAUUUGUUCUUUGAAUAUAUGCUUUGUGACCCUAAUUAAUCAACAAGUGAGAAAUUGUCCCUAAUCUUGUAUGCAUGUCACUCUUUUUUCUUUUUUGAUAGGAGAGAGAUUUAUGCAACCAUGUCAUAAAUUAAAAAAUAACAUUGAAUUUGUUUCUUCUGAAUGAUCUAUUCAGAAAAACACAUUAUAAUUUUAUCAAUAAAUCGUUGUAAAUCGGUGCAUAAACUCUUUCCAAACGGUCGACAUAGUAAGGUGAAUCAUAGUUUCAUUAUUUAUGAUUUAGAAGACUUCCUUUUAUACACACACACACAUAUUUGCAUCUUUCAAAAUGUGUUGCAGUAGUGGAGCGUGGUUGAAUUACAUGAAUAAUAAUGUUAAAAGUAGCUACAGGGGUUAAUGGUAUGAGAGAGCUUCCUUCAGCCCACUCAUGGAUGACACAAGGGUUUGAAUUAGCUGCCGACUCAUUCAUUUAACCACUCAGUAGAAAGGAAUUAAUUGUUAGCUACUGUGAUUGAGUGAAUGAUGCGGGAGAUAGUUUUCAUCCCUCUCCCUCUGUGCUUGGACUGAAGGGGGCUCCCUUUUUCUGUUGCCUUCAUUUUUGUUUUUUCAAGCUUCUUACUUGAUUUCAGACGGCAAACUCAGCAACAAAUUUAUAACAUCAGCAACUUUCUCAUCAUUGUCAUUAUCAUCCUCCUGAAUGCCUAAUGAACAUGCAAUAAGGCUAGUUACCACUUAGCGUUAUAUAUUAGAUGGAAAACGUCCCAGAUAAUUCUCUCUCUCUCUCUCUCUGUGGUUAAUGAGGAGGCCAAAUUCUUAAUUGUGAGUACAGCCAUCUGCCUCAGACAACUUCAUCUGGGAAGAAGAGUUCUUGGUGAUCCUCCUCCCAUAAAGUGCAAUAUUUUGUUGAAGAGGUAUUUGUUGAUUUUGUUUUUUCUUUUAAGCCUUGGCAUAUUUUGAUUUCCUUGUCUGGUAUUUAUGUGUCAUCUGACUAUAGUCUUUUGAAGGUAUAAUGAAGAGCUAAAUUGCAUUUGGAAAAUGCUCUGAUGAGUUGAGUGAAAAGUUAAAUUGCAUCCUCUAACAUGAUUUGUAUCAUUAUCACAUAUAAAUGAAGAGAACUUUACGGUUUGUUGCAGGGAAAUGAUGUUCUUUGUGGUGUAUUGUCACAGCAGUUGGCCCAUUGAGUUUCUUUUCUUGCUUGUUCCAGGCUUGCCCUAUCCACCAUGUCCGCUCUUGAAGGAAAGGCUAGAAGAACCAUUCUAUUCUUCUAUCUUUAGCAUGACAAUGGAAGUUGGAACUUGGAGCAAAAGAAGGUGUAUGAAAUAUUGCUGUUCUAUUCUACAGUGAGGCGUUUCAUGUUGUAUGGUUGGUGCAAAUUUAGGUUUUGUCACGCCUCCAACUUCAACUUGAUGCAUUAAGCACCAUGCAGGUUGUACCUGGAAUCUUUCCCAAAGGAACACAUAUACACAUGCAAGCUUGUUUUGUGGUCCCAUUUUUUUCUUCACAAAAAUGUAUGGGGAAUGGGAUGCUAGGCCCAUUAUCCUUUUUAAAUUCAAGCAGAAUCUCUCACAUAAUGUUUUAAUUAAAUGGUCUAUUUUGUGAUAUAGUUUCAAAAUUGACCACUCAAUCUGUGAAGUGGAUGUAUUGAUAGAUAUAUACCUUGAGGGAUCUCAUUUCUCUCACAUUGAGAAGGCCUCGCUCCCAUUGUAGUUUUUUCAUGUUUGUAAAGAAUUUACCUCUCUUCUUUCACUUUGUUAAGUAUACAUAUACAUACAUAUACAUAUAUAUGGGGUAAAUUACAUUGACCUCCCCUGAGGUUUCGUCAAUGUACACUGACUUCUUCUUUUGUUUGUCAAAUUACACUGACCUCCUGUGUCAGA